CCGAGCACUGACCCCGCUCAGCGAGCAACC
rnacentral:sRNA from 1 species